CAGCAGACACAUUCCAGCCAAUCAGCAGCACACCCUCCCUCCCAGAACCUCCCACCUCCUGGACAGCUCACUAAGAAUGCAGCUUCACAAUGGAUGUAAAAUGGAUGCUGUCCAGGAGGUGGGAGGGUCUGGGAGGGAGGGUCUGCUGCUGAUUGGCUGGAAUGUGUCUGCUG
rnacentral:miRNA from 1 species